UCUGUGGGGAGACUGACACCACUUCAUAUAACAGAAAGGCUCUUCUGCUCAUAAAAUUAGGGAAAAUCCAGCCCAGUACCCUACAACAGGGGUCAGCAACUUUUGAGGAAUGGCGGGAUGAAUGAAUGCACUGCUGCAGGAUGUCACUGAUUUCCCCUGCUGCAGAAUGCCGCUGCCUUCCUAGCUUGGUGGUCCAGAUACAAAGCAACAUGAAAAUUGCCAUUUACUGGGAAAACCUUGGCUAUGUUCAAGCACCUGAAAAUGCCAACAUGGAUACAGGUUUUCCUUCAUUUCUCAGGGG